UCGAACGCGGUUAUUCCAGUUUCGCAAGAAAUUGGGAUGACUGAGUGGCGAACGGGUGAGUAACACGUGGGUGACCUACCUUCGAGUGGGGGAUAACGUCCCGAAAGGGACGCUAAUACCGCAUAACAUCCUUCCUUUGAACAGGAGGAGAUCAAAGCCGGGGAUCGCAAGACCUGGCGCUUGAUGAGGGGCCCGCGUCCGAUUAGCUAGUUGGUGAGGUAACGGCCCACCAAGGCGACGAUCGGUAACCGGCCUGAGAGGGCGGACGGUCACACUGGGACUGAGACACGGCCCAGACUCCUACGGGAGGCAGCAGUGGGGAAUUGUUCGCAAUGGGCGCAAGCCUGACGACGCAACGCCGCGUGGAGGAUGAAGGUCUUCGGAUUGUAAACUCCUGUUGCUCGGGACGAAAUGCUCCAACCUAAUACGUUGGAGUUUGACGGUACCGAGUGAGGAAGCCCCGGCUAACUCUGUGCCAGCAGCCGCGGUAAUACAGAGGGGGCAAGCGUUGUUCGGAAUUACUGGGCGUAAAGGGCGCGUAGGCGGCCUGUUAAGUCGAACGUGAAAUCCCCGGGCUCAACCCGGGAACUGCGUCCGAAACUGGCAGGCUCGAAUUCGGGAGAGGGAUGCGGAAUUCCAGGUGUAGCGGUGAAAUGCGUAAAUAUCUGGAGGAACAUCG
rnacentral:rRNA from 1 species